GUCAUUUUUUCAACACCCAUUUUAAUGUGUGUGGUAAUGGGGGGAAAACACCAGUACUCUUUUAAUGUCAAUAUGAAUGACAUUUAUGAAUGCAUUCUUAGAUCAUAAGGAUCCUUAGAGAACAAGUGGAGAGCCUGAAUGCGACCAGAAAUGAGCUGGGUGUGGAUGACGACACACUGCAGCAAUGGGUGGCCGAUGUGCAGAAAUGGGCUGAAGAUAGCAACAAGAGGCGACACAGAAUUCGCAAGGUCAUCUUAGUUGAGAAGAAACGCUUGGCGGCUGCUGUUGACGACUACAACAAGCUCGCUGAACCAACAAAGCAAAUCGUAUCCAGUGAUGCCCUCAUGCAGACCGAUAUUUGGCCCUGGCAGAGCACAAGUGAACCUGCUGCUGACCUCCGGACAAAGAGAAAGGUCUUUGAGAAGGUGAUGGCUGUGAGGCGCCUGAGAGAGGAGGAGAUGAUCCUUUGCAGGGAGAUGCGGCAUCACUGGACAGUGUUGCGAAUGCGUUCUGUGGUGUUGGGGACAAUCUCCUCAGACUGUAAGCACUUUAUUUAUUUAUUAAUUUUUUGAUGAAUCGAUUGAAAAUAAGAGCAGAUGCUAAAGUCUUACUGGAUCUUUUACCUAUAUCUAGAUUGCUAGCUAACACUGCCUUCUCCCUUUUAAAAAAAUGUUUAAUUACAGCAUCCUAAUUCCUUGUGUUUAUGAGGUGAUUUUUUUUUGUUGUUUGUUUUUUUUACUUUUCUCAUAUUUAUUUGUUUUGUUCUUUUUACAGCCUCCUUUGUUGGCAUGUCGGAGGAUGCACAGAAGGGACUCUGUAGCCUGGUUUUAAAAAAACAAAGUGAACUGAAAGCUGAAAUGCUCAAAGUAAAGGACGUGUACAAGAGAAUCCUCAGCCACCAACCACUCCUGGAAAUGGACUCGGAGGAGGAGGAGGACAUUCCAGACGAUGCCACUGAGAGUGAUUUGAGCACUUCUGAUGAAGACUGAUUGUGUCAUCAUUGAUGUUAUGUUUGGUAAAAUAAAAAGUUAAUCACAUCUCUGUUCAAUGUGAUUUUUCAACAGACAUUUUACAUUUUGAGAAGAAAAAUGGAAUUUCCUUGGUGCAGUUGUUUACCCUGAAUCAUUAUUUCCCAUCUAAUUUAAUGACUAGUGUACAUGUUCAGAUA
ensembl:lncRNA